rnacentral:rRNA from 1 species
AUGACGAUCUACCUAGCUCGGGAGGCUUCCAAGGUAUGGAGGAAGGUGUGCGCGGAGACGACGACCGAGCUGCCGAUGCUUCGCGAGAAGUGGCCGCUACUCCUCGCUGGGAUUGUGUUCCAGUAUAUUCAUGGGCUGGCUGCUCGAGGAGUGCAUUACUUGCAUCGGCCUGGACCACUGCUCCAGGACCUGGGAUUUAUGGCCCUUCCAGAGCUUGGACAAGACAAAAAUUAUCUUAGUGAAUGCACAUUUGUUUUCAUCUUCUUCUCCUUUUUUCUGUGGACCUUUCAUCCUUUUAUUUAUCAUAGCAAACGCUUCUACACCAUCCUAAUCUGGCGCAGGGUGCUUGCUUUUUUAGUUGCUUCACAGGUUUUAAGGAUCGUUACAUUUUAUUCAACCCAGCUCCCAGGUCCAAACUAUCACUGUCGCGAGGGCUCAAGUAUGGCCACUCUUCCACCACCCAAUAAUGUGCUUGAAGUGCUCCUAAUUAAUUUUCCUCGAGGAGUAAAUCUUGGGUGUGGUGAUCUUAUAUUUUCAUCCCAUAUGAUUUUCACUCUUGUUUUCGUUCGAACAUAUCACAAAUAUGGCUCAAAAAGGUUUAUUAAGCUCCUUGCCUGGAUGAUGGCUAUAAUUCAAAGUCUCCUUAUUAUUGCCGCUCGCAAGCACUACACUGUGGAUGUUGUUGUUGCCUGGUAUGCCGUUAAUCUAGUCGUCUUCUUCGUGGACACCAAGCUCCCAGAAAUGCCGGACCGUACAAAUGGGUCACCCUUGAUUCCGCUGAGCAACAAAGAUAAAGAUGGAAGGCCAAAGGAUGAGAAAGACGUGAGGCUGAAGGACGAGUUCCAUAAGCUGUUGAACGGGAACCAUGGGGAUGCGACUGAUCGGCGGCAGCGGGUGCAGAUGAACGGGAGGCACGCCGAGGAGGACAUGAGCAUGCUCUCCGACGCCACGCCCAACGGCACAUGA